GAUGAAAUUCUAAUGUUUACCAGGAACCACUUGACAGUCCUUCAACAACUUUUUUGUUCAAAGUGUUGAAGGAACGUUGGUCAAUAUGACUGAUGCAGAGCAGGAAAACAACCUUUUUGAAAAUUUUCAACAGGCAGAUUGAAGUGAUAAUGAUGCUGAGAUGACUUGAGCAGCAAAAGUUUGGGUGCAAU